UUGUGUUUUAUCCGAGUUAACGUGAGCUGUUAUGUGGCUUUAGCGUCUUUCGCAGAGUAAGUACAGUGUUACGUUCUUGUUGUGUUAAGGACUGUAAUAGUAAAUCACACGAUCGAAAAGGUAAUAAAUGAUCACGACGACAGAUAUUUUAAAUUUCCCGCUCGGAAGAAAGGAUAUUGACGGACUGUAGCAGUAACAACAGACGCAUCGGGUGUCCUGGCCAGCUGCAUUAAGACGCAAAAUAUAUCUUCAUUUCUCCGUUUAUGCUCUUAACAUUAUCACAAAGCCAAGCUGCAUAUGAGAUGAUGGAGACUGACCCAGACUGAGCAUCAUCUCUACAUCUGGGCCACACAGAAACUACACAGACAGACACUGCACACUCUGCAAGACAAACUUAGAGGAGGGAAAGAAAACCAACACUGCAGUCAGCUAAAGAUGUGGACGACCAACAUGCUGAGAAGGAGACACUUGAGGUUGAAGAUGGUGAGAGAUACUGAUGAGAAGACACACAACACUAAGGGGGUAGCUGAGACAAACUGAAUGUAAACUGUGUAUGGACGCGUGUAAAAAUAAACCACCUGUUGGAGGAAAACUGACAGCUGCUGUGUGAACUUGAAGGAUACAGGAUGUCUGAUGGAUUUUGUAACAAGAAUGAUGCUAAAGUAUCAAACAGUAAAAAAAACACACAAAAUCUUAAUAACAAGCACUGAGCCAUAAACAUGAUACUCCCUGGUGAAGGUAAAGAUGUCACAUUACAGCAUAGGAUUGUCAAACAACUGUCAAACAAAGCAACGUUCACUUGUAGUGUAGAAGAGCUGUAGAUGUCAAUAAGAGUAAAAGCCCAGGUGUAUAAAUGGUUUUUGUGCAUAAUUGAUACAUUAUUUAAAAAAAUUCCUUUACAUUUUUGUAACUUUGUUUUCUUUCACUGUAUGUAUGACUGUUUUGCUAAUGUUUCAUCCUGUCUUAUGUAAACAGUAUGGGGCAUUCCUCUAGAAAUGACUUUUCCCUCAGUGCCUGAAUAAAAUAUCAAUUGUAUAAAUGUAAAAAAAUGGAGGUUGACUUAAAA
rnacentral:lncRNA from 8 species